rnacentral:rRNA from 1 species
UACGGAGGAUGCGAGCGUUAUCCGGAUUUAUUGGGUUUAAAGGGUGCGCAGGCGGAAUGUCAAGUCAGCGGUAAAAUUUCGGGGCUCAACCCCGACAAGCCGUUGAAACUGGCAGUCUCGAGUUGGAGAGAAGUAUGCGGAAUGCGCGGUGUAGCGGUGAAAUGCUUAGAUAUCAUGAAGAACUCCGAUCGCGAAGGCAAGUGUCCGGGGUGCAACUGACGCUGAGGCUCGAAAGUGCGGGUAUCAAACAGG